GGAAUAUUGCACAAUGGAGGAAACUCUGAUGCAGCGACGCCGCGUGAGUGAUGAAGGCCUUCGGGUCGUAAAGCUCUGUCGCAGGGGAAUAACACAAUGAACGUACCCUGCACGAAAGGCUCGGCUAACUUCGUGCCAGCAGCCGGGGUAAGACGAGGGAUCCUAGCGUUGUUCGGAAUUAUUGGGCGUAAAGCGGGUGUAGGUGGCUUUGUAAGUCAGAUGUGAAAGCCCAGGGCUCAACCCUGGAAGUGCAUUUGAUACUGCGAAGCUUGAGUGCUAGAGAGGAUAGUAGAAUUGUUGGUGUAGUGGUGAAAUACGUAGAUAUCAACAGGAAUACCGGCGGCGAAGGCGGCUAUCUGGCUAGACACUGACACUCAGACCCGAAAGCGUGGGGAUCAAAC
rnacentral:rRNA from 1 species